AUACGGAGGAUUCGAGCGUUAUCCGGAAUUAUUGGGUUUAAAGGGUGCGCAGGCGGACCGUUAAGUCAGCGGUGAAAAUCUGGUGCUUAACAUCAGGAGUGCCGUUGAUACUGGCGGACUAGAGUAUGAUUGACGUAAGUGGAAUGUAGCAUGUAGCGGUGAAAUGCAUAGAGAUGCUACAGAACACCGAUAGCGAAGGCAGCUUACGAAGUCACAACUGACGCUCAGGCACGAAAGCGUGGGGAGCGAACAGGAUUAGAUACCCUGGUAGUCCACGCAGUAAACGAUGAUAACUGGCUUUUGGCGAUAGACGGUCAGAGGCUGAGAGAAAUCAAUAAGUUAUCCACCUGGGGAGUACGAUGGCAACAUUGAAACUCAAAGGAAUUGACGGGG
rnacentral:rRNA from 1 species